UGCAGCAGUGACAGUAAAUUAGUUAAGGACUGAACUGUCUGACCUUAUUAGUUUUACUCUCGCAAUGUAAUUUCGAGAAAUUUAGGUACUGUUUAUAAUUACUGGAAGUCUAAUGACCAAAGUAUGACCACGGAAAUUUCUAGGGGCUGGGACAGAAGUUCUCAAAUUAUAUUCUUCCUAAUUUCAUGGAGCCGACACAGAGUCUCCGUCGGAAGUACAUCGUCGCCCCUACCUCCGUGAGCAAGACAACAAUCGACUCUAUUUGAUUGGAAGUAGUAAGAAACUCCAUUCCUUAUCUGUAGAAAUCAGCCCCGGCGAUCUAGAGUCAGAGAGGCGAUGAGACGGAGAGCCGAGGUCCGCCGAAGAUCGAUGAUUCCUUGAGUCUAACAGAUAUGAGCAUUGACUGGAAGAUGAAGGCUCUUCGUCGCUGGCUAUCGAGAAUAAUGAGUUCCGAUAGGUCACGGCUUCCUAACGAUUUGGACGCAAGCUGUGAAUCUGUUUCCAAUCCUUCCGCCGUCGUCGAUGAGUGAACUAAUGGCUAAACUCCAGAACUUGGCGGAUCAAAGAGGCAAAAAUUAGACCUGUGAUUGAAAGAGGUAAAAAUUAGACCUGUGAUUAGGGACUAGGGAUGUGUUUUAACCUAUUUGAGUGACCUGGAUUUGCUUAAUUGCAGUAACAAUCAUCUCCAUGAUUCCAGGAGAGCUCAAUUCGCCGGAGAGUUCCAGUCGUAGAGGAGGUGCGUGCAGGAAAUGAAGCGGGUGAAGCGGACGUCACCGUUAACGUCAUCGUCGGGUCACCAUAUGGUAACGUGUGGUCCACUGAUUGGGUAACCUCUGACUCAGUGCCUCGUCACCAAAGCUACAUCGUUUUGACUGAGAUGCAAGCUGGAGAACUAAAUAAAAAUAAUACUAGUCGAGGUACGGGUCGAACAUGGGCCCCCGACAAUAUCAGUUCGAGUCCUUACCAAUUGACUAAAGCUUAUUUCAUUUGAAUAGGUUUAUCUUCACAGUUCACCAAUCUCAUUUGAAUUGGUUUAGAUCUUAGAUGUUAGUCUAACUAAUCCUAAUAAUUUUUAAUCUACUAUGCAUAACAUAAAAAUCAUAUCACAUCUUAAACAUGAAAUAAUAACAAUAAUAAUAAUAGUAAUCAUAAUAAUCACAUAUAUAAUCAUAAUUAUACUUAUAGGCUUCCUCAUCAUAAUCAAAUUCAGAAUUAUAAUAAAUAUAUAUACACCCGUUACUUAGUCAUGUAAUGAUCACAUUCAUAAUGCUCAUAAGUUAAUAAUUAGUAAUUUAUUAUAAUUUUAAAGUCAAUGACACUUUUACUGAGGGAAAUUUACGAAUUCCCAUACAUAAAUUUCGUCACUAAAUUCAGGAUAUAACAGUUAAAAUGUGAAAUUUAUGUUGUACUAAUUCACCUAACUCUUUUAUUUAUUGGUUCAAGUUAAUAAACCAAUGUCAGCUAUACACUUUGAAAUUGUACUAAUAUAUCAAUGGUGUACUAGUUCACAAACUCAUUCAAAUUAUAAAACCAAUGUGAGCUAUUGAGUUAACCAAUUAUACUAGUUUGUUAAGGAUUUUUUAUACAAGGGUUGUCCUAGUUCAAUUGAUUUCAGCAGUACAUGAUGUCUCACUAAUGGGUACUAGUUCAUACGCAAAUCACUAUAUGCGACCAAAGAAAUUGAUAUAUUGAAAAAUAAAAGUAUACAUAACUAGUCUAGUACCGUUACAACAAUGGCAUUGUAUCAGCCACCAUAUCAUAUUACAAAAUUCCGUCGUAUACUAGUGCAUCGAACAAAUCCAAUCUAACCCACAAAUAAUAUAAUAACAAAUUUUAUCCUGUGCUAGUGCACCCAAAAACUAGAUCUGAAUUUGAUGUCAUUCCCGAUAGUAAUAUAUUUGACGAUGUUGGAGCUACUUGAGUGAAUGGUAGGAAAGCAAGAUUGAUCUUGGACACAUGAGGCUGACGGUUGGUCGAUUUAUCACAAUCUGAACAUGAGAAGAGGGAAAACGAACUGAAGAGGUUGGAAACAACGUGAGGGAAGAAUAUGAAAUCCGAUCUCGAUGUGGAUAAGAGAUUUGAUUCUGAGCUUACUUGACGAGAAUGGAAGACCCGAUAGACGAGGCAUGUCAGAAGAUGGAUCAAUGGUCAUGGCGGUGAUGGCAGCUGAAAGUCUCAAUGGAGAGCAAAGUGAUGGCAGGGGUUUCGCCGACGAGGAGAAGGAUGGACUAACGAUGGCGGCAUGAAAGAGAGAGGUAUGGUGAUGAAUAGAGAAUUUUUUCAUGUGGCGACUACUUUCGGUGGAAUGAAUAAGUAAAGUUUUGAUAAGGAUAUAAAUAUUUGUAUUGCAACGGAUCUACUCCUAGUGAUAGAGUCAAUCAAAUAUAAGGAGCAAAAAAGUAAAGACACCAG
rnacentral:lncRNA from 1 species